rnacentral:rRNA from 1 species
UGAGGAAUAUUGGUCAAUGGGCGAGAGCCUGAACCAGCCAAGUAGCGUGCAGGAUGACGGCCCUAUGGGUUGUAAACUGCUUUUAUAAGGGAAUAAAGUGAGCCUCGUGAGGCUUUUUGCAUGUACCUUAUGAAUAAGGACCGGCUAAUUCCGUGCCAGCAGCCGCGGUAAUACGGAAGGUCCGGGCGUUAUCCGGAUUUAUUGGGUUUAAAGGGAGCGUAGGCCGGAGAUUAAGCGUGUUGUGAAAUGUAGAUGCUCAACAUCUGCACUGCAGCGCGAACUGGUUUCCUUGAGUACGCAC